AUUGAACGCUGGCGGCAGGCUUAACACAUGCAAGUCGAGCGGGCGAGGUUGCUUCGGUAACUGAGCUAGCGGCGGACGGGUGAGUAAAGCUUAGGAAUCUGCCUAUUAGUGGGGGACAACAUUCCGAAAGGGAUGCUAAUACCGCAUACGUCCUACGGGAGAAAGCAGGGGACCACUUGUGACCUUGCGCUAAUAGAUGAGCCUAAGUCGGAUUAGCUAGUUGGUGGGGUAAAGGCCUACCAAGGCGACGAUCUGUAGCGGGUCUGAGAGGAUGAUCCGCCACACUGGGACUGAGACACGGCCCAGACUCCUACGGGAGGCAGCAGUGGGGAAUAUUGGACAAUGGGGGGAACCCUGAUCCAGCCAUGCCGCGUGUGUGAAGAAGGCCUUUUGGUCGUAAAGCACUUUAAGCGAGGAGGAGGCUUACCUGGUUAAUACCCGGGAUAAGUGGACGUUACUCGCAGAAUAAGCACCGGCUAACUCUGUGCCAGCAGCCGCCGUAACAC
rnacentral:rRNA from 1 species